UACGUAGGCGGCAAGCGUUGUCCGGAAUUAUUGGGCGUAAAGCGCGCGCAGGCGGCCUUUUAAGUCUGAUGUGAAAGCCCACGGCUCAACCGUGGAAGGUCAUUGGAAACUGAAAGGCUUGAGUACAGAAGAGGAAAGCGGAAUUCCACGUGUAGCGGUGAAAUGCGUAGAGAUCCGGAAGAACACCGGUGGCGGAGGCGGCCCGCUGGGCAACUGCUGACACUGAGGCGCGACAGCGUGGGGAGCAAACAGG
rnacentral:rRNA from 1 species